rnacentral:rRNA from 1 species
AACGAACGCUGGCGGCAGGCCUAACACAUGCAAGUCGAGCGCACCGCAAGGGGAGCGGCGGACGGGUUAGUAACGCGUGGGAAUGUACCCUUUUCUACGGAAUAGCCUCGGGAAACUGAGAUUAAUACCGUAUACGCCCGGUAACGGGGAAAGAUUUAUCGGAGAAGGAUCAGCCCGCGUAAGAUUAGAUAGUUGGUGGGGUAAUGGCCUACCAAGUCUACGAUCUUUAGCUGGUUUGAGAGGAUGAUCAGCAACACUGGGACUGAGACACGGCCCAGACUCCUACGGGAGGCAGCAGUGGGGAAUCUUAGACAAUGGGCGCAAGCCUGAUCUAGCCAUGCCGCGUGAGUGAAGAGGGCCUUAGGGUCGUAAAGCUCUUUCAGUGGGGAAGAUAAUGACGGUACCCACAGAAGAAACCCCGGCUAACUCCGUG